CUGGCGCUGACACACACAUGGGGGCUUUGAGGUUGGCAGUCCGCUACAAUCAGCAACAAACACAGAGCUGACCUACUCUCCCAAGACUAACGCAGGACUGCAAAGAACAUUUGGCCUACUGAUCUGUGCGGGGAGAGGAUUGAACAUAAAACCAGAGGAGUCUGAAGAGUCAGAAAGAGCAGCAGAGGCCCCAGAGGAGGCUACACAGAAGAGGUACAGUACAGCACAGCAGGCCUCUGGACAUGGCUCGGAUGGAAAAAGCAUGCAGUGAGCAACUAACAGUAGAUAAAGAUUCCUCCUGUUCUGUUGAUGGAGAGGCCAGAGCCAGUCUUCCCCAACUACAGCUCCCACUGGGGGAAGCUCUUGCUAUGGCUGACUGAGAGGUUAUUGGGUGUAACACGAGUUUGCUUGCCUGAGUGUUUUUGAACAGUAACAAUGACACUGAUCGGUUGGUACGAGAGGAACACAGAAAAACAAAAAAAAGUCAACCUGAAGAUAGACUGGUAGAGUUAUUGACCACAUAUGAUAAGAGGAAGAGAGAAUGCUAAAGAAUGAGAAGAGAGAGAGAAUGGCGUUCUUCUGAGAGCAGGAGUGAGGUAGAGAAGGGAGGAAGAAAAAUAAGGAAUGUAGAAUGCUUGAGAGCUUCCCUCAGAAAAAGUUGGACUGACUCAGAACAUGCUUGUAUGAGGGCAUACAUAUAUGCUGGAAGAGCCCGGUGGAUCAGGCCCUGCUCUCUGACGCACUUCUCAGUCUGGCCACUAGGCGGAGGCCUUCACACAGGAAAGAUACCGUCUGCUUGUCCAGUACAUGGGCCUACAUGUCUUGGGAACGCCACAUAUUGUGUAAAGGUUUUACUCGUGAUGUGUUUACUCUGUUCAGUAAUCACAUUUAAUAUUUUAGUGAAAAUAAUGAUUUUGUAAAAUUUGAAUACCACUUGAAUAUAUGGUGCAUUACAGUAUAUACAGUACAUCUUCUGCACUAUUUGGGAAUUGAUCAAAUCUGUUAUUUUUCCACUAUCUGAAGUGGAUGAUUGUUUGACAUUGCUUUAGUUGCAGUAGUGCUCUGCCAAGGCUUGCUGUCUGCCUCUGGCAUGGAGUCAAGGCUUCAGCCUGCUGGCACAUGCAUCCCUCCUAGAGAGGAAACCUGCAGAGGAAAUGUGACAUUACUGAGGAGAAGACAAGCAGAGAGGACUUAGGUUGUAGAAGUCUGUUAGGCCUACAAUAUGUCUCUGCUUUUAUGACCUGACUAUCUCUGUCUGACUCAUGGUGCCAGAGAAUAUAUCUGAAAAAGA